GAAAAAGUGGCUGAGUGGACAAAAGCGGUAGACUGUAAAUCUAUUAGAUUUAAUUCUUACAUUGGUUCGAAUCCAAUCUUUUUCA
rnacentral:tRNA from 1 species